AAAAAGUGUUCUCUAUCAGGCAGGGAGCCCCAGGGUGAUUUUCCAUAGGCGAGUGCCAGCAGUGUGAAGAAAACUGGAAGCCGGAAGCUGGGCAACUACUGUGAUGGCCCACACAAGAAAUAAGGACACAGUGAGGCAGUCCAGAAGAACAGAGCAAAGGAGGCACAGGGGGGAGGCGCUGAGAGGGCAGAAAUGACAGAAUAACCCACUGCAAAGGCUCUAGAAAAGCACUGGAUGUGCUGCUUAAGGUGAACUUACAGAAGGAAAGGAUUCCACACAUCUUUUGUGGAAGCAGAAAGCAAAUAGGAUGGGGAAGGGGAGAGCAACCACAUGAGUCUAUUCAUGGAGACAGAAAGUGGAGCUGUGUUGGAGACAUAGUGAGAAUCCGGGUUCAUCAGAGUCACAGGCCGCUGCGAGAGAAGCCGCCGCCAUGUCUGCGCAUCUGCAAUGGAUGGUCGUGCGGAACUGCUCCAGUUUCCUGAUCAAGAGGAAGAAGUAGACAGACAGCACAGAGCCCAAUAACUUGAAGGCCCGCAACUCCUUCGCUAAAAAGGGCUGAUUCACCGCAAGACUGUGGGCGUGGAGCCUGCAGCCGACAGCAGAGGUGUGGUGGUCAUGAAGCGGAGAUCCAGCCAGCGGAAGCCUGCCACCUCCUAUGUGCGGACCACCAUCAACAAGAAUGCUCACGCCACGCUCAGCAGCAUCAGACACACGAUACUGAAGAACAAGUAUGCCCUGACCUGCGCAUGGCUGCCAU
rnacentral:lncRNA from 1 species